AAGGAAUAGUUUAUGUAGAAUUCCAGCUUUGGG
rnacentral:tRNA from 1 species